rnacentral:rRNA from 1 species
ACUCAAAUGAAUUGACGGGGGCCCGCACAAGCGGUGGAGCAUGUGGCUUAAUUCGAGGCAACGCGAAGAACCUUACCUGGGUUUGACAUGUAUUGGACCGGGUGUGAAAGCAUCCUUCUCUUCGGAGCCGGUACACAGGUGCUGCAUGGCUGUCGUCAGCUCGUGUCGUGAGAUGUUCGGUUAAGUCCGGUAACGAGCGCAACCCCUGUCCUUAGUUGCCAUCAGGUAAUGCUGGGAACUUUAAGGAGACCGACCCUUUAUAAGGGUAGGAAGCUGGGGACGAUGUCAAGUCAGUAUGGCCCUUACGCCCAGGGCUGCACACGUGCUACAAUGCCUAGUACAAAGGGACGCAAGACCGCGAGGUGGAGCAAAUCCUUAAAACUAGGCCUAGUUCAGAUUGGAGUCUGCAACUCGACUCCAUGAAGCCGGAAUCGCUAGUAAUGGUGCAUCAGCUACGGCACCGUGAAUACGUUCCCGGGCCUUGUACACACCGCCCGU